rnacentral:rRNA from 1 species
UACGUAGGGUGCAAGCGUUGUCCGGAAUUAUUGGGCGUAAAGAGCUCGUAGGCGGUUUGUUGCGUCGGCUGUGAAAUCCCGAGGCUCAACCUCGGGUCUGCAGUCGAUACGAGCAAACUAGAGUGUUGCAGGGGAGACUGGAAUUCCUGGUGUAGCGGUGAAAUGCGCAGAUAUCAGGAGGAACACCGGUGGCGAAGGCGGGUCUCUGGGCCGAUAUCGACGUGGAGGAGCGAAAGCGUGGGGAGCGAACAGG